AAAGACGUACAGUAUACAGCAUGUGAUUUACCCGUUUACACUGAAAAUAUGCCAUUGAUUGUUUUGAAGGUGCAACUGCUUCAGAGUUGAUCAUGUCUAGAUGGUAACCCUGAUUCUGUGAAGUUCACCCAACCACCACUGUGACAGUAUUCAGUCAUUUUCUCUUCUGUAAAAGAUUUACUUUGCCUUCAAGUCGGAAAUAUCGUAAUCACAUGACCGAGCAAAGCUGUAUUUACAGUUGGGAAACUAGAAGACACCCGAGUUGUGGCCAAUGCGAGCAGCAGUAGAGUUCUGCUGGUGCGCGUGUCGGCGUGAUGGUCUCUCAGCUGGAAGAGUUUGGGUGUCAGAAUCGCAGGAGCGAACAGACGCAGGAAGAAAAAGCCACUGAUGGCCAAAUACUUCACAUCCUACAAGAGAGAAACACUGCUUCCUGUGGAGUUGCUAUGGAAACUUGGGCCCUUUGUUUGUCAUCGGCGCGGCACAAACGCAACAUAAAACACCAGCCGAGUGUGAAAAACCCACGCGCUCCCAGAAUCACACAAAACAUCAUUAAUGAGAGAGGAGAAGUUCAGAGAUGACUUCACGGCAGCGAGGGGAACUGUGUGUAAAUAUAGCGGGACUGAAGUCAUCAUGUCGCCUACACACAGGAAAACCACUAAUCAAACACACACAC